UACGUAGGUGGCAAGCGUUGUCCGGAAUUACUGGGCGUAAAGGGCGUGUAGGCGGCCUUUUAAGUCAGACGUGAAAUCUCUGGGCUUAACCCAGAAAUUGCGUUUGAAACUGGAGGGCUUGAGGAUCGGAGAGGGCAGUGGAAUUCCCAGUGUAGCGGUGAAAUGCGUAGAUAUUGGGAGGAACACCAGUGGCGAAGGCGACUGCCUGGACGACACCUGACGCUGAGGCGCGAAAGCUAGGGGAG
rnacentral:rRNA from 1 species